AUUGCCUUUUUUUUCCCUAGAACAGCACAGUUCUGUACUAAUUAAGAUGGAAAUAAUUUAUAAAGCAAAGCAAAUUAUUUGUUUCAAGCCUUUAUUAUGUUACUACAAAAUACAAGUUUUGCUUUUCCUUCUUCCUCCAAAAUACAUUUUGGAUGGAAAUUGCUUUACAAUAGGUCUGUAAGUUCUUCUACAAAGCAAGUAUUUUAGACCAUCUCUCAUCUAGUAGUGCUGAUGGAGAAUUUAAAUUGAGAUCUAGCAGCUGUGUUGUCAACCUUUUGUUACAGCUUUCCCAUCAAAACUAUCUAGACCACUUAAGUAGAUUAUGUCAUGAUUUGCUGUUGUUGUGGACAAACACAGUAGCUGACAGCUAAAACUGCCAAAACAGUUGUAUCUUAAAAACAAGCUAAGGUUGCCCAAGAUGCUCUUUAAUUAGCUUUAAAGCUGUUUACUAAAAAGACCACAUUUUUCAUUACAGCAGAACAUGACUCCAUUAGAGAAUAGUUUGGUUUUUCAGUUUUCCUGGGGCAUAGUAGGAAAUCCUCUGUUGCUUUGAAUGUGUGCAUAAGCUCUGCCUUUGCUUCACAAGACUUAACAAAACAUGACAACUGAAUCUUGCUGCUGAAGAGGAUUUUAAAUGGGCUUGUAUCUGUACAGCCCUAUUUACCAUAUGUUGUAUUUAGCUACCUAAGACAAUACUAUACCAAUUUUUAGGUUUGCAUUAUUUACAUCUUACAUUUAUAUGGGGAGGAUUAACUUCCACUUUGGGAAGGAGUAUUAUGUUGCUUUCUUGGUGCAUUUUCAAUGUAUGUAAAUGCUAUUUGAAUUGAACUCCAAUAUUAACCUACCACUGCCUUAUUACAGCAGGUUACAGUCACACAAGGCAAUUAAUUCCCUUAAUGAAGAAUCAGCCAGUGACAUGGUAUCCUAUCUGGAGACAGAGCACAUUAUCUCUGAUGGACCUCAGCUGUUCAAGGUCCAUGGAGCACUGCUGGAAGACAUACUCUUCAGAAUGUCAAGCUGGGCAUGGAUCUGGUUAGAACUGGCUGUUAAUAAAGAGUAAGCACAGAUUAUUUGCUUAAAGAAACAUUCCUUUCUAAAACACAAGGGCAUGAGUCCAUGUUGCAGAUCCUCUGUUUCCAGAUCCAAUUGCCUCUCCCUAGAGAGGAUAGGCACAACCUUUCUUUCAUGAAGAUAAUGGGUGAGUACUGGUCCAUUUUAUAAUCUGUUGGAAGAGGUUCACUAUUUAAAAUAAUCAGAUAGAGGAUAAGGCCAGGAGAGGGAAACUGUCUAUGAAGUGACCUUACCAAGACCAAUAUGGACCAAACAGGCCCUGUUGCUUAGAGGAAUGCAUAGAGAAUAGUCUGUGAGUGGGGAGAAGACCUAUUCUUCAAACCACGCUGAAGGCAGAUGUCUCUGCAGAAGGAUGUGUAAAUCAAUGAGUGAGGAAGAAAGAACUUAGAGGAAUCUUCUCAUAGCUCAAUGUUUAAGGCAGUCCUGUAUGAGAGGAGCAGACAGAGUCCCAGAUCCUACUGGCAAGAGAUCUGACCUGAAAAAUAAAAUAAAAACAUAUUUAUUUUUAAUAUAUAUA
rnacentral:lncRNA from 1 species